ACAUGGCUCAUGCAUAAUCGUGGAAGGCAAGAGUAUUUGUUUCUUUCUAUUGUGAUAGAUUACACAUCAGGUCUCGUGUAAAUUUUGUUCGAGUUCAAAUUUGAGGCCUCAAUGCAGCAGCGGUCUGAUCGAAACCAGCUUUCUACAUCGACAAGCUCGAGCACGUAAACGAGAAGGAUAUUGAUCUUGAACAUAGUUACAAAACAAAUAGCUUUUUUAACUUGUAUCGAAUUGAAAAAUUAGGUGGCUUCCUUAAAUUUUAAGGCAAAACUCAUUCGAGUUUUCUUUCGGUCUAUGUAUCAUAUGUUUUGACUA